rnacentral:lncRNA from 1 species
UUUGAUGAGCAAUGAUUCUAUUGAUUCGCAAAAUUAAAACAAUUUCUAUCAAAUUGAAUUCUAUCUUUAAUAUUUUUUAAAUGCUUUCAUUGAAUAAUUUGUGUAGCAACAAAAACCUCUUUUUCAUUUACACACUCACCCUCUCGUUUUGUCUCUCAACCUCCAAAACCUUCUCUUCACCUCCUCGCCAUAACGUUUUCACUUUCAGUUUCCCCUCUUGAUUUCUCUUUGUGAGAAAGCAGCAACAGCUCCCCUCACUCUAUUUCUCUAUGUCAAAACCACUAUCCCUGUCCCUCUCGUCCCCAAAAUCAGAUCUCGCCCAAAGUGCGGCGGAGGUGCUGCGACUGAGUGCAAUGGCAACAGAGGUGCGACGGAGGUGCUUCGGCGCGAUGCAGCAGCAAGGUGAGGAGCGACGGCUCGGUGCGGCGGCAAGGAAAUUGUCGACAGAGGCAACCACACUCACUGCUGUUCUUCUCCUUCUUCAAUUUUAAUUUUUUUUUACCUCUUUUUUGGGUUGUUCAUUGAUUGUAGCUGUCUGUAUAAAAUAAUGUUUUUUAAUAGCUAAGGAACGAUUUUGUGGUGAAGGAAUGGAUCUUGCUCUGAAGAAAUUUUGUGGUUUGCUCCAAUGGUAAAUAAACUGGUAGAUAUGGUUACUCCCAUAUCUAUUUCAAAAUAAAAUAACGUGAUUUUUAAUUUUGAAAAAAAAUAUAUUCUAGUAGUACUUUGUUUUUGUAUGGUUUUAAAACAAAGUAGUCAAUAAAUUGAAAGGGUGAUAGGU